UACGUAGGGUGCGAGCGUUGUCCGGAAUUAUUGGGCGUAAAGAGCUCGUAGGCGGUCUGUCGCGUCGGUCGUGAAAACUUGGGGCUUAACCCUGAGCUUGCGGUCGAUACGGGCAUGACUGGAGUUCGGCAGGGGAGACUGGAAUUCCUGGUGUAGCGGUGAAAUGCGCAGAUAUCAGGAGGAACACCCGUGGUGCAGACGGCUUGCUGGACCAUGACUGACGCUGAGGCACGAAAGCGUGGGUAGCAAACAGG
rnacentral:rRNA from 1 species